rfam:Schistosoma mansoni strain Puerto Rico chromosome 1, complete genome
GUUGCGAUGGCCGAGUGGUUAAGGCGUUGGACUAGAAAUCCAAUGGGGUUUCCCCGCGCAGGUUCAAAUCCUGCUCGCGACG